rnacentral:rRNA from 1 species
GACGUAGGGCGCGAGCGUUGUUCGGAUUCAUUGGGCGUAAAGGGUGCGUAGGCGGCGCGGUAAGUCGGGUGUGAAAUCUCGGGGCUUAACUCCGAAACUGCAUUCGAUACUGCCGUGCUUGAGGACUGGAGAGGAGACUGGAAUUUACGGUGUAGCGGUGAAAUGCGUAGAUAUCGUAAGGAAGACCAGUGGCGAAGGCGGGUCUCUGGACAGUUCCUGACGCUGAGGCACGAAGGCCAGGGGAGCAAACGGG